CAUACCUACAAAAAUAAUUUUUUUAUUGAUACAUUUAAAUAAAACAUAUUAGCAGUAGAUUAAGCAUUUUUUUUUAGAUAUGAUUGUUCACAAAUUGAUUUAAAUAAAAACUAGUCGUUCAGAAAUGGAGGAAUAAUGAGACUGACAUAAAAUGAUAACAUAAAAUGAACUAUAAACUAUAUGAAGCCAACUUUUCACAAUCUACUUUUACUGAUCAAUAAUUCCUCUGCUCUUCUGUUUGCAUUUUGACAUGCAAAAUGCUUUCAUUGCAACAUACUGAAGCUGCAUUACAAUGAACUGAAACUAUCUUAAAUUUUCACAAGCAUUUAGCAAGUACAUUUCACGAUUCCUUUGCAGGAAUAUCUGUUGCAAAAUAUAAGCUGUAUUAUUCAGAUUCAAUUAUCUGAAAUGUAGCAAGCAAAUAGCGUUUAAUAAAACAAAAUAGAAAAGCAGGACAUUUCUUAGCUGUACGCAAUGUGUUGUGAUAUGUCUGUCUGUAAAUUUAUAAAGAUAAUACAGCUCUUUUAUAAUAAAAUUAUAACAUAAUUUAAGUACUAUCUAAUUCUAUAACUAAUGUACCUCUUGAUUAUGUUUCUUUGCUAGAAAUAAUUAUUAUACAAAUUUCUAAUUACAUAAUGUAAAUGAAAAAUAACUAUACAAUAUUUACAUUCUUUUGAAUAUGAAAUAUAAUAUUCUUAAAUCUAAUCUCUAUAGUUUGCUUAUUGCUGUUUACCAAAUGCUUCAUUUUUAGUGAACUAGAAUUUCCAAUAAUACACAUCAAUUUCAUGCCUGUCAUAAAUAAUUUACAAUUGUCAAAUUUAAGCUAUUAAUAAGAUUGUUAGUAACAAAGUGGUAGAUGAUUAUGGCACGGCUUCUAUACUAUGUAAGAUCGUAGCCAUUAGCCUUGCCGCUAAUUUCAUCCACUUUGCAAGCUUACGAGGGUAAUAUUACGUUAGAAUAACUUAACGGGUUCAGAGCGUUCAAGUGCUAUUAUCAAACACAAAUUCGGGACAAUUUCAUGCGCAAAUUAAGUUCUAAAGCACACACAGUCUCAGAAGUUUCGAUUAACGUAAAUGUUACAUUCACAAUUAAAAUCGGUAAAGCAUGGACGUUUGCUGGCAGAAUCAUGUUAACGACCAGGUGUCCUAAUCACACAAAACAUUUUAUUGCCAGAAAUGAUUAGACUCGUAAAUACAGCAGAAAUCCAGGAAAUGAAACAAAUCGACCGGAAAUCGAACAGAAUUGUCAAAACUAUAAGAGAUAAUACCAAAAGCCUUGACAUGAAAGAACGAUGGUUACGAACAGCACGAUUGAUCAUGCAAAGUGUUACUACACUUGAAAGGAACAUCCAAUGAUACUUUUGCGUUACCAUUUUUAUUAUUUCAAUUAAAGUCGCUUUUCCUGAAAAGCUUGUUUGAAUUGUAUCAUUUUUUAAAUACAUAUGCAAUAUUAUCAAGAUACACAAUAUAUACAAAUAUCUAAAUAUAUCUGAGUAAAUAAUAAUAAUAAACUAAUAAACGAGAUAUACAAAGAAAUAAAUGAUAAUGAUAACAAGUGACAUAUUUGCUAACGUUUCAUUUCUAUAAUUGGGUUUUUUUUGCUGUCCUGACGUUUUACUUCUUGCACUAGUUCUUUUUAUAUUAGAGUAUUGCAUACGAUUAACAAAAAACAUUUCAAGUGUAGCAGGCAGUAAUGUGCGAUGAUUGAUGUUUACCAUAUUCAGAUUUGGGAGCAAAGAUGAAGGCUCCUCGGCGUAGCUCUCUAGCCUGGCCCGGUCCCUUCGCUGUACCAACAAUGGUUAAUAACAAACCAUAAAGCAUUGUCUUUGAGAUACAUGCAGUGUCUAAUCACCAAUUUGGUAUU